UCCAUCAGCAAUUUGCAGUUGCCAUUUGCCACCCCCAAUCUCGACAACCCUCUUAAUUAGACCCCGUUUCACACGCUCUCGCUCUUUCUGGCUCCUUAAAGUUCUCGCACGCACGCUCCUCUCCUCCGUGCGGCCUUUCUCUCGGAGCAAACCGUCCGCUCUUCCCUUCUCUGCGUCCUUCUUUUUCAUGGCAAACCCGGAGUGCGGGCACGAAAUAAGAGACGUGGGAAGGACUGGCAGAGCCCUUCUCCAGUACAAGACAUUGUUCUUGAGAGUUUCCGUCCACUGCGAAGGCUGCAAGAGAAAAGUCAAGAAGGUCCUUCAGUGCAUUGAAGGCGUUUACCAUACAGAGGUCGACCUGAAGCAACACAAAGUGACCGUGAUCGGCAACGUCGAUGCAGGCACCUUGAUCA